rnacentral:rRNA from 1 species
ACGCUCGACACCUACGGAGGCAGCAGUGGGGAAUAUUGCACAAUGGGGGAAACCCUGAUGCAGCGACGCCGCGUGAGUGAAGAAGUAUUUCGGUAUGUAAAGCUCUAUCAGCAGGGAAGAAAAUGACGGUACCUGACUAAGAAGCCCCGGCUAACUACGUGCCCAGCAGCGGACGGUAAUCUGAGGCGGGCGUGGACGAAGGC